UACGUAGGGUGCGAGCGUUAAUCGGAAUUACUGGGCGUAAAGCGUGCGCAGGCGGUGAUGUAAGACAGGUGUGAAAUCCCCGGGCUUAACCUGGGAACUGCAUUUGUGACUGCAUCGCUGGAGUGCGGCAGAGGGGGAUGGAAUUCCGCGUGUAGCAGUGAAAUGCGUAGAUAUGCGGAGGAACACCAAUGGCGAAGGCAAUCCCCUGGGCCUGCACUGACGCUCAUGCACGAAAGCGUGGGGAGCAAACAGG
rnacentral:rRNA from 1 species